rnacentral:rRNA from 1 species
GACGAACGCUGGCGGCGUGCUUAACACAUGCAAGUCGAACGGUAAGGCCCUUCGGGGUACACGAGUGGCGAACGGGUGAGUAACACGUGGGUGAUCUGCCCUGCACUUCGGGAUAAGCCUGGGAAACUGGGUCUAAUACCGGAUAGGACCACUGCCUGCAUGGGCGGGGGUGGAAAGCUUUUGCGGUGUGGGAUGGGCCCGCGGCCUAUCAGCUUGUUGGUGGGGUGAUGGCCUACCAAGGCGACGACGGGUAGCCGGCCUGAGAGGGUGACCGGCCACACUGGGACUGAGAUACGGCCCAGACGCCUACGGGAGGCAGCAGUGGGGAAUAUUGCACAAUGGGCGCAAGCCUGAUGCAGCGACGCCGCGUGAGGGAUGACGGCCUUCGGGUUGUAAACCUCUUUCAGCACCGACGAAGCGCAAGUGACGGUAGGUGCAGAAGAAGGACCGGCCAACUACGUGCCAGCCGCCGCGGUAA